rnacentral:lncRNA from 1 species
GGGAAGGGUGGGAGGAGAAUUCGGCCAAUAGGAAUGCUUGGUUUCGGAGUUGUGGAUCGAUGACAUGGCAAAUGUGUUUCUUUUCUGAACUUACAACACAUUUUUGGACUACUAAACGAUCUUGAAUGAAAAAGUUGUCAACUACAAAAUUUAAAAUCUCAUCGAGCUCUACAAUUUUGAUAUAAAGUUUGUAUUCAUCCAAGAUUGUAUGCAAAAGUUUGUAUUAAAA